AUCACAGUUCAAGUGGCAGCCUCGUAAGAGCAAACCUCAGCUUCAGAGCCCAGCGAAGGAAGCCCUGGGGCACGCAGCAUCUGCUACUAAGUUUAUGCCGACCCGAGCAGCAGCAAACCACAUCGCCUUGAUCUCUACAGUCUGUACUACCCAGCCAUGAAUACACAUUUACACGCAUUCUUAAAUAAAAGGAUCUGUGGGUUUACUGGUAAUGAGGCAAGCAGAGGGGCUCAAUAACGACAUCCAGAAGGUUCAGAGGAAGAGCUGAGGGCUUGGGUCAAUGCUAAAUGUGGGAGGGAGAAAUUCAUCUAUUACACAGCAGUUCGGCAUGUCAGCAGGCCUACCAUGUUGGAUUUUGACAUUUUAUAGAAAUACUCAACAAGAAGCAAAGAGAUUUUUCUGCAAACAACGAAAUUAGAAACCCCAAUGAGCAAUGCGUGGCUAAGGCUUGAAAGAGGACAAUAGCGAAAUAAAAGCUGCCUUCAACUUGUCAAAGUAGCCUUAUUAACAAUUCCCGGAAGUUUUCCCUGCCUUAAUCAUUAUAUUAGGUUUUCAGCAUUCACAGCAGCAGGAAAAUGCAACAGCAAGAAGAGAACAGUCAUAACUCCGUAUCCUCCUUUCCAUGCCAGCAGCUCACCUUCUCUUAUGUGCUGUUCUCUGCUGCAGAAGGGCUGCGCUGUGCAAAGGGCUUGGUUUAAAUUGCGUAAUCCUGAAUUUAACACUGACCGGGAAUUCGAUACUGGUCAAAUCGUGUGAACUUGAAUUAAGUUUCUUAAUUUCUCUAAGCCUCAAAGGAAGUGGGUGAAGGGGCUACUCUCACAGCUGCUGGGCGGAUUCAGUAAGAUAUUGUUUGUGAAAAUAGGCUGCAAUUCUGCAGGUGAGAAGCCUCCUAGCUUCCUUCCAGUAAGGCCUGUUGUGAAGUAUUAAAUGUUCAAUAGUCUCUUGUGUGACUAUUAAAAAUAAAAACCAACCAAGCAAACAGAAAACAUACUUCCUUUGAAAGCCCCUGUUAUCCUGACAAAAAAGGUAGAUGAGGAGGCAUUUAUUUCAGUUAGUUUCAAUAAUACAAACAAGAAUCACUUCUUCAGCUUCCUCCAGCUAAGAAUUAUUUUCAGUUGGCUUCACUUUUGAGUUGCUGAGUUCCUUACUUCUUUCAUUGGAACCAAGAGAGGGAAAAUAACAUUUUAGCUUUCUUUUAGCCAACAAAGGAAUUCUUUUCUCAAAGGAUGGUUCGCCUUUAAUGAAGCCGUCAUGAACACAGACAGCAGCCCGAUCGCGGGAACCUCUUCCUGAAGACCUAAUAUCGAACUUCGGUUGCAAGACUGUUGCACAGUGCUGAGGAAAACCAAAGGGUACAGUCCCUUCCGUGAAAAAUCUUCCAACUCGGAAUAUCCCCACUGUCUGGAGGCCUGCAAAUAAGCAAACAAAAUCAACAGUCCUGUUUUAUGGACUUGAAGCUUGGGAGGGGAUCAAAACGGAAAUCGAACAGGACACCAGCACCGUGCGGCAACAUAUACAGCAACAGUAAUGUGGCAGUGUGAGCCAGUGCUUAUUUAGCCCAGACCGUCUCUCCAGGUAGCCAAAGAAACAGAGCCAGAGUUUUCUCUGAUUCAGGUUUGCUUCUGGGGGCAAGAAUACUUCAUACGAGUUCCAUGUCUAAUGAGUGGCAUGCGGGACUUCCAGAAGAAGUUGAGAGAGUCACGGUGAGUGGCUAAGCAUUGCUGAUUUGCAUAAGCACACAUUGGUGCUUUGCUCUUGGGUGGCAUUUUGCUUUACUAUUUACAAAAGACUUCUGUACCCUUCUUGUUGCUGCUGUCAAUUUGUCUGCCUCACAACUGAGUCCAGCCGCCAGCCUAAUUUACUGCCUCUACCUCUCUGGGAGCUGGAAAACAGGGUAUCAGGCAACUUAGAAUCAAAUCCAGAACUGCAUUUCUUCAUCUGCAAUCUACGCAUAGUAUUUAGGUAGAGCAAAUGACAGCCUUCAGACAAUCAAUGCCAUUCUCUGGCAUAAGCUUUACAGUGAUUUUCCUCAAAGAGAAGACACAGUCUAGGCAUUCAGCAACCUGACUUGAGACAAUCAAAACAGGUGCACAUCAAGAAAGGCCUAAGAUAUGGCAAAGAAACGUGCCUUUGCCACAUCCUGUCCCAGAAACUGAUAUGAUCACCUUUCUCUCCCUUUAAUCAGAAAAGGAAAUGCAAACUGGACCUGGAGUACCUGAAUCUCAGGCUUAGGGAAUUCAUGUAACAGGGGCAGGCAUAAUAAAUAGGGGAGCCCACCCUAAAAUCACCCUACACCCCAGAAAUUAAAUAAUAGAGUUUGACUCUCCAUUAUAUUAUGUUUUUUUUUUUUUUUUUGAAAUUUGCGCUUCUGGGAAAUUGAGGAUGCUAAAGGAACUUUGACCUAUCACUACAGAAAGCAUCUGGGUCAAAGACAAGAGUGGAAGGCUGGUGUACACAAAUAUAGACGGAGCCACCAUUAUGGCCUCAGACCAGUUUUGGAGAGAAUGAAACGAUCUUGACAAACGUUCAUAAGGCUGAAGUGAACCUAACUCUCUACUACCUCUUUUAAAAACUGGCAAGCAAAGUCUUACAAGAGAAUUGUUCUUGAAGUUUGCUCUUUUCUCAUUGGUUUAAAGUGACCAAUAUUAAUAUCUGUUUGAACAAGAAUGUAUCUCUCAUUUUCCUUUGGCCACUUGGACUAAACCGCAUGGGAACCCGGAACAGCAUCCAGGCCUUGAGAGUCACUCGGGCGCUCUUCCUUCCUUGGGACCUAAACGGCAUCAACUAUUCCAAAAAAGAGAACUGGCCCUUUCUUAGUAAGCUUAAAGGAAAUGCUAUUUUACAAAUUGUAAUUCAUGACAAUUUAUUUUCAGAAGGAAAAUAGAAAGACAUACCAAGUUUUCUUUCUUGAAAGCAUUUAACCUGGCACUAGAUUUUUGCAUGAUUAGAGUAGAAUUUUCUCAUUUAGAAUUCUUUAAAACGCAUACAGUUCAGUCUCUACAUUCUUUUCAGGGAAAAGGUAUAACUAUAAAAGUAUGAGUCUCUUUUUCUACACCAUAGUGAAAUUUAGGCUGAAUUUACAUACUCACAAUACUGAACUCUUUAGUCCCUAAGCUAUUUUUAAAAAUAGUUCUGUUCAAGUAAUAUUUAUUGAAUAUACUAAGUACUGGGAAUUCAAAAUGACUAAGACAUUUUCCUUGACUUCCAGUUUACCUUCCAAGGAGAAGAGAUAAACACAUGCACAUACAUGUAUGUAUGUACACACAUGUAUACAUAUAAAAUUUUUGUGUAAACAAAUAAAAUCUUAGUACAUAUUAAUUUGAUUAAGUCACCCAUAUGUUAUCUAGUGAUUUCCAUAUAUAAUGAGAUGAUUAAGAGAUUUAGGUAUAUCCUUAAUACUUUUUUAUCCAGUCCCACUUUUACCAGAAAGGAUGCUAACAGUAUUAUGUCUACAGGAUAGCCUCAAAAUUUUCUUUGUUUUUCAGGUGUUUUUUUAUUACAAUGAGCAUAUUAUUUAUACAGUAAACAAUUCAUGUAAACAACACUUUCCUCAUGACCAUAAAAUACAUACUGACACUAUAGCAAACAAAUUCAGAUUAUGGAAAUAGCAGUUUGAUGAGCCAAAAGUCUCUAUUUCAAAAGUUUUAAAGAACUGUACAUCAUUUUUAAGUCAACAUAUUAACUGGAACUGAGCUGCCAAAAGGGUCAUUGUGAAUAAACUUUAAGUGGACAUUUUCUGCAAAAAUGCAAAUGGCAAUAUAGAAACCUGUUGUCAAAAACUAUGUAUUUUCUAUUCACUUUAGGAAUGGUUUCCCAACCUCUGGUGUUUAAAAAAAAGAAACUGGAGUGUUAUUUUUUAAAGGGAGCCUUGUGGGUAACACCAAUGUAUAAAAAAGAUAAAAGUGGCUCUGCUCCCUUUGAAGGGGGUCCUGGGGACAGACCAGCCCAAUAAAUCUUGCCUUCCCCUGAAGUGCUUGGCCUCUAGGGUCACUGCUGAGGACCCCUGGGGCCUCGGCAAUCUGAAUACCAUCAAGCUGAUUUCUUCUCCCCUGUCUGGUUUGGUCCAGUAAUCUCUUGAGCAAGCACUCACAUCUGUAAACUUUCUUCACAAGGGAAAUUUUAGCCCAGAGCCUGAUGAAAUGGACACAGAAUUGAAAUUGGGUGCUUACAUAGAUGAUGCUUGAAUAAAGAAAACCUUUAGUACUUGAGUGCUGACA